rnacentral:rRNA from 1 species
UACGGGGGGGGCAAGCGUUGUUCGGAAUUACGGGGCGUAAAGGGCUCGUAGGCGGCCAACUAAGUCGGAUGUGAAAUCCCCAGGCUUAACCUGGGAACUGCAUCCGAUACUGGUUGGCUUGAAUCCGGGAGAGGGAUGCAGAAUUCCAGGUGUAGCGGUGAAAUGCGUAGAUAUCUGGAGGAAUACCGGUGGCGAAGGCGGCAUCCUGGGCCGAACCUGACGCUGAGGCGCGAAGGCUAGGGGAGCGAACGGG